rnacentral:rRNA from 1 species
GAGAGGAAAGCGGGGGACCUUCGGGCCUCGUGUUGCGAGAUGAACCUACGUCCGAUUAGCUAGUUGGAAGGGUAACGGCCUACCAAGGCGACGAUCGGUAGCUGGUCUGAGAGGAUGAUCAGCCACACUGGGACUGAGACACGGCCCAGACUCCUACGGGAGGCAGCAGUGGGGAAUAUUGGACAAUGGGCGCAAGCCUGAUCCAGCAAUGCCGCGUGGGUGAAGACGGCCUGCGGGUUGUAAAGCCCUUUAGGUGGGGAAGAAGGAUAGGGUACGAACAAUGCCUUAUUUUGACAUUACCCACGGAAUAAGCACCGGCUAACUCCGUGCCAGCAGCCGCGGUAAUACGGAGGGUGCGAGCGUUAAUCGGAAUGACUGGGCGUAAAGCGUGCGUAGGCGGUAACGUUAGUCAGCCCGUGAAAGCCCUGGGCUCAACCUGGGAAUGGCGGUUGAAACGGCGUAACUUGAGUGGGCUAGAGGACUGUGGAACUCCCGGUGUA